rnacentral:tRNA from 1 species
GGGCGAUUAGCUCAGUUGGCUAGAGCGCCAGCUUUACACGCUGGAUGUCGGGGGUUCAAGUCCCUCAUCGCCCACCA